rnacentral:lncRNA from 1 species
CUACACCACAGCUCACAGCAACACCGGAUCCUUAACCCACUGAGCAAGGCCAAGGAUGGAACCUGCAUCCUCAUGGAUACUGGACAGGUUCGUUAACAGCCAUGAUGGGAACUCCAGGUAGCCAGGUUUUCAAAGCCGGCAAUCAACAUGAUAUAAAACUCAACAAGAUGUUCAUGUAUUUAUAUCUAUAUAUACAUUUUGUUUUGGGUACCCUGCGGGAUAUGGAGUUUCCAGGCCAGGGAUCAGAUCUGAGCCGCAGUUGUGACCUGCAGAACGCCAGAUCCUUUAACCCACUGUGACAGGCAGGGGUCCAACCUACAUCCGUCCAGCUGCUACAGAGAUGCUUCCAAUCCUGUUGUACCACCGCAGGAACUCCUCAUGUAUAUGUUUUUAGGAGAGGAACAGAUAAAACCAGGUCGGCCCAUCAGCUUUCCUUGCUGUGUGGCCCUGGGUAACUUAAUUACCUUCUCUGGGUAACCUAUGGUUGUCAGCCUCGGUUAAGGAGUGCUGGAGGGUGUUUGACAAGACUGUUAAAUGCAUAGCGUGACAUCUGACAUUAGGUAAGCUGUGCUCAGCAGUUACCAUUGUUACUGUUAUUAGCCUGUAUCUUCUCACUCCACACCUCAGCUCCCAUCUCAGUGAAGUGGGGGUGCUCUGAAAUUUCCCUGGCCUGUGCAGCAGGGUCUCGGGGCUCUGCUCUCAUGGGGUGUUUUUGGCAUACGUGGAACAGGAAUGUGCAAACAAUUUUUCUGCCCCCCAGCACCGCAAUUAGUGCCAGAAGGGAUCUUUGGCAGAAACAGAGUAGUGGGGAGACCCACCUGGGGGCUUUAGCUGACGGUCAGACAACAGGGUCCAAACACCGGUGAUCAAUCCAAACCUUUCACAAGAAAGGGAUCCUGGAGUUGGAGGGGAACUGAGCCCCCUCCUCCAAGGACCCACCAGACCCCUCCUAGUCAAAAGCACAAGACCCAAAAGUGAGGCCUCAGGCUGUCUGUGUAUUGAUCCCAGGCUCAUCGCUACCACCUGGUGCUGUGUGAGUUUGAAUAUGUCGUCCCCUCUCUUCGUACCUCAGUUUCCCCAUCUUAAAAAUGGGGGUGAUGAUCACAUGUCCCUUUUGGAGAAGUUUCAAAGAUUAAAUGAGUCAUUGGAGGUGUAACUUGCAGCCUACCAUAGUCAAAGGAAUGACUAAGUAUUAACUGUUGAAAGGUAUACCAUUUCAUAUGGCACGGGCUUGUCAACCCUCCUAGGUGCUCAUCGCAGCCCCUCAUCCCGCAGGGGCUGCCAUUCACAUAUCUGGGUUGUAUGGCCUCCCUUGCACCUGACACAGCCUGAAAUUAUAGCCCUGGUUUGUUUGCUUAUUGUUCAUUACCUGACGCUCCCCCAUUAGGAGGUCAGUGCCGUGAGGGCAGGGAAUUUUGUCCUCGUGGUUGCUGCCUUGUUCCCCGAGGCAUGUGGCACCCACAAAGUGCUCAGUCAUCAAUUUGCCGAGUGAUCAAAGGAGAGAAGUAAACGGUGGUGCAGUUCGGCUCCAGUAUAUGGAUGAGAAAAAUAGAGGCUCAGAGAUGUCAAAUGACUUGCAUGAGGACACAUAGCCAGAGUCAGCAGACUUCCCAUAAUGUAAAUAUGUUAGACCUGUCGGGUCACCUGUGGUUUCUAUUGCAUAGUCUUCUUUCUCUUUUGACAACCCUUUAAAAUUGUACAAGAACCUUUUUCUUCAUUAUUGCCUCCUCUAAAGAGCUGUUUUAGACAGUUUUCUCCCUAAUCACUCACCCCAUGGAGUUUUAAUAGCACAGCUAUAGUAUAUAUCUAUUUAUAUACUGUAUCUAUAUGUGUAUAUACAUAAAAAGAACAAAAAUUUUUAGCCCCCUUCAUCCCCCCCACCAAAAACCAAUUUUUGCCCCCACUGAGAAUGGAUGGAUCUAGAACAGGGUUUCUCCCCCUCUGCUGACAUGGAUGGGGUCAUUCUCUGUGGGGCUGUUCUGGGUUCUGUGGGGCAUGAAGCAGCCUCCCUGCCCCCACGCCCUCGAUGCCAGGAGCCCCCCAGUGGUGACAAAUACAGGUGUCCCCAAACAUCAUCUUAGGAGGCAGGAUCACCCCAGUUAAGAAUCUCUGUCCUAGGCAGACAAUUUCUUUAAAUGGACAUCAGUGAGUUCCCGUUGUGGCGCAGUGGAAAUGAAUACGCCUAGUAUCCAUGAGGACGUGGGUUCGAUCCCUGGCCUCGAUCAGUGGGUUGAUCGCAGAUGCAGCUUGGAUCCCGCAUUGCUGUGGCUGUGGUGUAGGCCAGUGGAUGUAGCUCUGAUUCAACCCCUAGCCUGGGAACUUCCCCAUGCUGUGGGUGCAGCCCUAAAAAGCAUAGUAAAUAAAUAAAUUAAAUAGACAUCAGCUUUGGGAUGUAGACUCUCCGAGCUGGGCCCCAGUUUACUAACCUCAACAAUCAGUUGAUUUCAUCUAUGGUGUCACGAAGCUCUUAACACAGUAAAAAUUCAGCAGAUGAAAGCUGCCUGCCUGGGGGCUGGGGCAUCUUGGGACUCUGGACAUGAGCCAGCCUUUAGGCGUUAUCCAUUCAGGGUACAUCUGGGUCCAUUUUAGGGCUGGAUCUCUAAGUAGAUAGGAGGAGGAAGAAUUAUCUGUGCCCUGUUUUUUGUGUUGUGGGUUGUUUUUUUUUUUUUCUUUUUUUUUUUUUUCCCUGAUUUUUCAUGGAAACAUCCAGGGCAGCUCAACCUGAUAGAACUUUCUGUAAUGACAGCAUAUGUGGCGCCAUCCAGUUCAGUCGCCACCAACCACAUGUGCCUAUUGAGUAUUGAGAGAGGUGUGGCUGAAGUCCUGAAAAUUGAACUUAAUUUCAGUUUAGCCAAUUUAAAUUUCAAAUCACACAUGGUGAGGGGCUCCAUAGUGGACAACUCUGGAAGACAGGGAGUUGCCAGGAGCCAAAUGACAGGAAAGUUGUCAACAGGUGGGUGAGAAAUAGUUUGAGGUUUUAGAGAUGACUAAAAAUAAGACGGCAUAAUAAAAAAGGAAGGAGAUUCUGACACCUGCUACAACGUGGAUCAACCUUGAGGACGUGAUGCUCAGUGAGAGAAGCCAGGCAGAGAAGGACAAAGACUGUCUGAUUCCACUCCCAGGAGGUCCCUAGAGGAGUCAGAUCCACAGAGACAGGAAGGAGAUGGUGGGGCGGGGGCUGCCGGAGGGGAGGGAGAGUCAGUAUUUCAUGUGGACAGAGUUUCAGUUUGGGAAGAUAGAGAAAGUCCUGGAGAUGGAUGGUGGGGAUGGUUGCACAACAAUGUGAAUAUGAUUAAUAUAACUGUGCAUUUAUAAAUAGUUAAAUGUUAAAUUUUAUGUGAGUAUAUUUGAACCGUAUCUAAAAAUGAAUUUGAAAAGUUUUAAUGAGAUGGCAUAUAAUUACAGCAUCAUAUUAUUUAGAAGCUGCACUUAUUUAAAUUAAAAAAAAAAAAAAAACCUCCCAGGACUAUAGCAAAAAAGAGCGUCUUCAGCCCAAUAAAGGGAUCUGCAGAAACCCAUAGCUAAUAUCAUUCUUAGUGGUGAGAGACUGAAUGGGUUACCCUAACAUCAGAAACUGGGACAUCUGCUCUCAUCAUGUCUAGUCAACAUGGUUCUAGAAGUCUAGCCAGUACAGUAAAGCAAGAAAAAGAAAUCAGAGGCAUACAGAUUAGGAAGGAAGAAAUAAAAUUAGCUCUAUUUGCAACUGUCAUGAUGGUCUACAUAGAAGAUCCCAAGGAAUCUACCUAAAAAAAAAAAAAA